GCCUUCGUGGUGUAGUGGUCAGCACGCUCCACGUGUAACAGAGAGGUGCGUGGUUCGAUUCCCGGCGAGGGCA
rnacentral:tRNA from 1 species